rnacentral:rRNA from 1 species
UUUGAGACCGGCGCACGGGUGCGUAACGCGUAUGCAAUCUACCUUUCACAGAGGGAUAGCCCAGAGAAAUUUGGAUUAAUACCUCAUAGUAUAGCAGUUUCGCAUGAAACCACUAUUAAAGUCACAACGGUGAAAGAUGAGCAUGCGUCCCAUUAGCUAGUUGGUAAGGUAACGGCUUACCAAGGCAACGAUGGGUAGGGGUCCUGAGAGGGAGAUCCCCCACACUGGUACUGAGACACGGACCAGACUCCUACGGGAGGCAGCAGUGAGGAAUAUUGGACAAUGGGCGCAAGCCUGAUCCAGCCAUGCCGCGUGCAGGAUGACGGUCCUAUGGAUUGUAAACUGCUUUUGUACAGGAAGAAACACCUCUACGUGUAGAGACUUGACGGUACUGUAAGAAUAAGGAUCGGCUAACUCCGUGCCAGCAGCCGCGGUAAUACGGAGGAUCCAAGCGUUAUCCGGAAUCAUUGGGUUUAAAGGGUCCGUAGGCGGUUUAGUAAGUCAGUGGUGAAAGCCCAUCGCUCAACGGUGGAACGGCCAUUGAUACUGCUAGACUUGAAUUAUUAGGAAGUAACUAGAAUAUGUAGUGUAGCGGUGAAAUGCUUAGAGAUUACAUGGAAUACCAAUUGCGAAGGCAGGUUACUACUAAUUGAUUGACGCUGAUGGACGAAAGCGUGGGUAGCGAACAGGAUUAGAUACCCUGGUAGUCCACGCCGUAAACGAUGGAUACUAGCUGUUGGGCGCAAGUUCAGUGGCUAAGCGAAAGUGAUAAGUAUCCCACCUGGGGAGUACGUUCGCAAGAAUGAAACUCAAAGGAAUUGACGGGGGCCCGC